CCGGUGGCGUGCCUCAGAAACCGGAUGACUUGAGGGCAGGAGAGGGGAGUGGAAUUCCCAGUGUAGCGGUGAAAUGCGUAGAUAUUGGGAGGAACACCAGUGGCGAAGGCGGCUCUCUGGCCUGUUUCUGACGCUGAGGCGCGAAAGCGUGGGGAGCGAACGGGAUUAGAUACCCCGGUAGUCCACGCCGUAAACGAUGGGUGCUAGGUGUAGGAGGUAUCGACCCCUUCUGUGCCGUAGUUAACGCAAUAAGCACC
rnacentral:rRNA from 1 species